rnacentral:rRNA from 1 species
AUUGAACGCUGGCGGUAUGCUUAACACAUGCAAGUCGAACGAUGAGAAAGAGCUUGCUCUUUCGACUAGUGGCGGACGGGUGCGUAACGCGUAGGAAUCUACCUAUUAGUGGGGGACAACUUAGGGAAACUUAAGCUAAUACCGCAUACGCCCUACGGGGGAAAGAAGGGGAUCGCAAGACCUUUUGCUAAUAGAUGAGCCUGCGUAGGAUUAGCUAGUUGGUGGGGUAAAAGCUCACCAAGGCGACGAUCCUUAACUGGUUUGAGAGAAUGAUGAGUCACACUGGAACUGAGACACGGUCCCGACUCCUACGGGAUGAAGCAGUGGGGAAUAUUGGACAAUGGGCGAAAGCCUGGUCCAGCAAUACCGCGUGUGUGAAGAAGGCCUUAGGGUUGUAAAGCACUUUCAAUUGGAAGGAAAACCUCGAAGCUAAUACCUUCGAGUUUGACAUUACCUUUAGAAGAAGCACCGGCUAACUCCGUGCCAGCAGCCGCAGUAA